UGUCUUAGGGACCGUGCCUGUCUUAGGUUGUCCAAUACUACAUAUGGUCCUUACCCGUCAUCGGAUGAGCUGACCUCAAGGCGUCAGCCUCCUGUCUUAGGUUGGUACCAUUGCAAUUGGAUCUUACCCGUCAUUGACUACCGGUCAAGUAUACAGCCAUACUUGUGGAUAGGCCUAUGCACCAGUGGGGGGGUGAGGUUCUUUGCCUCACCUCUGUUGGCCCCCAAAUAUUAGCUGAAUGACCAUCACAAGCAGAAGGGAGAAGGAUAAGAAAAUGCCACAACACCAAGCAAAUUGACGAUUCCUUUUGGAAAAACUGUACCAUCGAUGACACCAUCAGCAAAGAUACCCCAGCACUAACACAAUUCGCUGCACCAACAGAUAGUUCACAAUGCAUACGAGUGAUACAUAGUCCAGGCAAGUUCUGCAAGCAGCUCAAAGCAGAGGAAUCUAUUAAUAUGUUCAUUUCCUCCCAAAGUAAAUCGACUUCUUGACUGAGCAUCACUUGUUGAGUUACAUUAUUCAUUGAUGCAUCAGUUUAUAAAGA
rnacentral:lncRNA from 1 species